GGUUGGGUGAAAACUUCAAGAUUGGUUAGUCGGGGAACUAACC
rnacentral:ncRNA from 1 species